GGCAGUUUAGAACUAUGAGCCAAGACAAGUCAUGAGCUUGAGAAUUUGAUACAUUUUUUUGAAGACAAGAAAAGAGAAGUUGAAGUGAGGAUUAUAUGGAGAAUAAAACUGACGACCUGCAGGACUCCUGGGUUGGCAGCCUACCUUGGACCAUCUAUCUCCGUCUCCAAGUCACUGGCCAGAAUGAAAUCUAGACCACGUGUGCAAGAAGGUAAAAAACUACUAGCUCUUGCUCACUAUCAUUGGCCACUGACUUGCAGGAUAUUAUAAUUCAUGUAAGAUGAUUUUUAAUACAC